CACGUAGGGUGCGAGCGUUGUCCGGAAUUAUUGGGCGUAAAGAGCUCGUAGGCGGUGUGUCGCGUCGGCCGUGAAAACCUGCAGCUUAACUGUGGGCUUGCGGUCGAUACGGGCAUCACUGGAGUUCGGCAGGGGAGACUGGAAUUCCUGGUGUAGCGGUGAAAUGCGCAGAUAUCAGGAGGGAACACCCGGUGGGCGAA
rnacentral:rRNA from 1 species